ACCUUCGUGGUGUAAUGGUAGCACACUCGGCUCGUAUUCGAGAGGUCCAGGUUCAAGCCCCGGGGAGGGCA
rfam:Stegodyphus mimosarum contig22913, whole genome shotgun sequence.